UACGGGGGGGGCAAGCGUUGUUCGGAAUUCCUGGGCGUAAAGGGCGUGUAGGCGGCCAACUAAGUCCGACGUGAAAUCCCCAGGCUUAACCUGGGAACUGCGUCGGAUACUGGAUGGCUUGAAUCCGGGAGAGGGAUGCAGAAUUCCAGGUGUAGCGGUGAAAUGCGUAGAUAUCUGGAGGAAUACCGGUGGCGAAGGCGGCAUCCUGGACCGGCAUUGACGCUGAAGCGCGAAAGCUAGGGGAGCAAACGGG
rnacentral:rRNA from 1 species